UAAACAAUUUCUCAAUUUGGAUCUCAAAAUGGCAGGGAAAAAAUGUACUGCAAAAAGAAAAUAUGAAGAUGAAAACAGGACGUUUCUAACAGAGUGGGAUAAUUUAUAUUUUUUCGUCGAACGUAAUGGCAAGCCAUUCUGCCUUAUAUGUCAGUCGUCAUUGGUGCAUUUCAAGGCUUCAAAUCUUCAGCGUCACUUCAGCUCACUCCACGCUAACAUUGACCAGGAAUUUCCAAAAGGGACUGAACUUCGCAAGCACAAGCUGACCACUUUGAAAAGUCAGGCAGAAAAGCAGGUACAGGUUUUC